GUUCACCUCUUUUUCCUUUCUACAUGCUCUCGAUCAUAUACAUAUACACCCAUUAUUUUCUUUAGUAUUCACCUAUUUUUCCAAAGCCAUGCCCCAUUUUAAGUGUUGUAACCCCUGAUCACUGAUACCCUGUCCGACUGACGUAGGGCCCCGUAACGUAUGUCAAGGCUCUGCCUAAACUCGUUGGGGUUAUGUCUCGUGACGUAGGGAUAAAGCAGAAUUGGGUCACUAUACUUAAUGUGACUGCACUAGAUAUUUUAUUAAAUAAUUCAGGAGUUGUAUCCAAAAUAUAACAACCCUCCCGAAUAUUUUUCUGACACCCUGCACUUCCUAAAAUACACCCAGUAUGUGAAAACUAAACCCGAAAUAUAAUACAGCAUUGAAAAUAAUGGAAAACAAGAAAAAGUAAGUUGAGGCGGGCCGUGUAGACCCACCCCAAACCUUACGCGGGCGGUAUGAAGGUUUAAACCUGAAUUCGUUGAUUCUUUAAGGUCAGGCGGGCCGCGUAAAGAUCCCCGUUAGUUAACGCGGGCCGCGAGGGAUCUAAAAGGUGGCGCAGCUCUGGGCCGCCACGUGGCCCAACACAUGUCGAAGCUAGAUAGUGACCCGGAUCACCUACGCUGUUGACCAGCGUUGACGCGGGCCGCGUAGACUUUGGUCUACCCUUACGCGGGCCGCGAGAAAACCCAAGUGAAGCACUAUAUAAGAAGGCCAUCGGGUUUCAUUCAGAAUUCGUUCAAAGUCAAUUUCUUUCUCUCAAAUUCUGAUAUAGGCUUUAUUAAGCGGGUAUUAUACCCCCCCUAAUUAGCGAAACUCUGCCUCGUUGUAAGUAUCAUAACCCCUGGAUACGUAUUAGAUACUCUGCCCGAUUGAUCUAGGGUUCCGUAACGGCUGUCGUGGUUCUGCUCGACGUAGUCGUUGGAAUACCGUCUCGGGGAGGGUAUUACUAAUGUUAAAAUGGGUUAUUAUACUAACACGUGUGCAUUGUAUAUUUAAUUAGAUUAUAACCAGGAAGUCACAAAGGAAAGCCCUAUGAUAGCAAUGUAACUUAGUAUGAAGCCAAUAAAAGCCAGCUGGAGAGCACUGAAGGCUUGGAAAAGUGGCAAUAAAGUUACCUAAAAUAAAAUAGAUGUUUUUUUUAAAUAAAAUAGGAUUUAUUCCUAUGAAAAUUUGUGUACUGCAAACUUGGGUUUUAUCCCAUGUGUUUAAUAUUAUGAAAAUAUGGUGGUU
rnacentral:lncRNA from 1 species